rnacentral:rRNA from 1 species
UGCAAGUCAACGAGAAAAGGGUAGCAAUAUCCUGAGUAAAGUGGCGCACGGGUGAGUAACACGUAGGUAAUCUGCCAUCAGGACGGGGACAACCACGCGAAAGCGUGGCUAAUACCCGAUGAAUCAACGAUGCCACAUGGCGUUGUUGUUAAAUACCGCAAGGUGCCUGGUGAUGAACCUGCGUCCCAUUAGGUAGUUGGUGAGGUAACGGCUCACCAAGCCGACGAUGGGUAGCUGGUCUGAGAGGAUGAUCAGCCACACUGGAACUGAGACACGGUCCAGACUCCUACGGGAGGCAGCAGUGAGGAAUAUUGCGCAAUGGCCGAAAGGCUGACGCAGCGACGCCGCGUGAAGGAUGAAGUCCGUUAGGAUGUAAACUUCUUUUGCAGGGGAUGAAUGUUCCGGUUUCCGGAAUUGACCGUACCUUGCGAAUAAGGAUCGGCUAACUACGUGCCAGCAGCCGCGGUAAUACGUAGGAUCCAAGCGUUGUCCGGAUUACUGG